AGCUGCUCCGGAGUUAGCGGCGGACGGGUGAGUAACACGUAGGUAACCUGCCCCUUAGACUGGGAUAACUCCGGGAAACCGGAGCUAAUACGGGAUAAUAAAGAGAAUCGCCUGAUUUUCUUUUGAAAGACGGCGUCUAGCUGUCACUAAGGGAUGGACCUGCGGCGCAUUAGCUAGUUGGUAAGGUAACGGCUUACCAAGGCGACGAUGCGUAGCCGACCUGAGAGGGUGAUCGGCCACACUGGGACUGAGACACGGCCCAGACUCCUACGGGAGGCAGCAGUAGGGAAUCUUCCGCAAUGGACGAAAGUCUGACGGAGCAACGCCGCGUGAGUGAGGAAGGCCUUCGGGUCGUAAAGCUCUGUUGUGAGGGAAGAACAAGUGCCGGCGUAACUACCGGCACCUUGACGGUACCUCACCAGAAAGCCACGGCUAACUACGUGC
rnacentral:rRNA from 1 species